rnacentral:lncRNA from 1 species
UCCUUGGGUGCAAAGGCGGAGCUCCAUACGUUAUCCAUGGGCCUCCUGGUACAGGCAAAACAAGGACUCUUAUAGAAGCUAUUCUCCAGUUACACGUUACGAGGAAAGAUGCUCGUGUUCUCGUCUGCGCACCUUCGAGUAGUGCUGCAGACCAUAUACUUGAGAAACUUACUACACGUUACGAGGAAAAAUGCUCGAGUACUUGUCUGCGCACCUUCAAAUAGUGCUGCAGACCAUAUACUUGAGAAACUUGUCAGUCAGCAGAAUGAAGUGAAGGACCAUGAAAUUUUUAGGCUGAAUGCACUCGCACGUCCUUUAGACGACGUGAAUCCUAGUCACAUUCGCUUUUGCAAU